CUACGGGGCGCUGCAGUGGGGAAUAUUGGACAAUGGGGGAAACCCUGAUCCAGCAAUGCCGCGUGUGUGAAGAAGGCCUGCGGGUUGUAAAGCACUUUCGGUUGGGAGGACUGCUUCUAGCACUAAUAUUGUUGGAAGUUGACGUUACCUUCAGAAGAAGCACCGGCUAACUCCGUGCCAGCAGCCGCGGUAAUACGGAGGGUGCAAGCGUAAUCGGAAUUACUGGGCGGAAAGCGCGCGUAGGCGGCUAGAUCAGUCGGGUGUGAAAGCCCCGGGCUUAACCUGGGAACUGCAUCCGAUACUGUCUAGCUUGAGUACAGGAGAGGAGAGUGGAAUUCCACAUGUAGCGGUGACAUGCGUAGAUAUGUGGAGGAACACCAAUGGCGAAGGCAGCUCUCUGGCCUGAUACUGACGCUGAGGUGCGAAAGCGUGGGGAGCAAACAGGAUUAGAUACCCGCGUAGUC
rnacentral:rRNA from 1 species